UACGUAGGGAGCUAGCGUUGUCCGGAAUCAUUGGGCGUAAAGCGCGCGUAGGCGGCCCGGUAAGUCCGCUGUGAAAGUCAAAGGCUCAACCUUUGAAUGUCAGCGGAUACUGCCGGGCUAGAGUCCGGAAGAGGCGAGUGGAACUCCUGGUGUAGCGGUGGAAUGCGCAGAUAUCAGGAGGAACACCGGUGGCGAAGGCGGUUCUCUGGGCAUGUCCUGACGCUGAGGAGCGAAAGUGUGGGGAGCGAACAGG
rnacentral:rRNA from 1 species